rnacentral:rRNA from 1 species
UACGGAGGGGGCUAGCGUUGUUCGGAAUUACUGGGCGUAAAGCGCGCGUAGGCAGACCUGCAAGUCGGGGGUGAAAGCCCGAGGCUCAACCUCGGAACUGCCUUCGAUACUGCGGGUCUCGAGUCCGGGAGAGGUGAGUGGAAUUCCUAGUGUAGAGGUGAAAUUCGUAGAUAUCAGGAAGAACACCUAUGGCGAAGGCAGCUCUCUGGGACGGUACUGACGCUGAGACGCGAAAGCGUGGGGAGCGAACAGG